CUAACAGGUGAAGGCUGAGGACGUCUGGCGGAACUGCCGGUGACAAACCGGAGGAAGUGGGGAUGACGUCAAGUCGUCAUGGCCCUUAUGUCCAGGGCUACACACGUGCUACAAUGGGCGAGACAGAGCGACGCGAAGCCGCGAGGUGGAGCAAAUCGCAGAAAAUCGCCCUCAGUUCGGAUUGGAGUCUGAAACCCGACUCCAUGAAGGUGGAAUCGCUAGUAAUCGCGCAUCAGCAUGGCGCGGUGAAUACGUUCCCGGGCCUU
rnacentral:rRNA from 1 species